GCUGUGUCAGGCUCACCUUCCACGGGUCGGGUUGGAGCCCACCUGUGGCUUGUCGGUGGGACUGCAUUUAGAGCUGUUGCUGAGGGCUCAUUUCCAUGGACUGUAAGACAGAAAGAUAAGGAAAGAGGAACUUCCUGUAGAAAAGCCCCCCAAACAAAACAAACCUUAAUUGACUAAAUAAAGAUAAUGCAUGCUCAACUUAGGAUAAGCACUACGGCAAAGCAUAUGAAAUCUACCAAGCUUGCAAGACCAGUUGAAGCUGACUCAGAAACCCUAACACACAGCCGAUUGCCAGCGGGCUUCUUGUUGCCCUGGUUAGAGUCAGGCAUCCGCUGCUUCGCUGGCGCCCAACACACGUGCUGGGCUCGCAGGGGAUUGAGAUGCACAGAGGAGGGCGCUAUAGGAUGGGCUAGCUGACCUGGCUCCUCUUCACGGGACUGGUAACUCAGACCUGAGCGUGGCCCUGCCUUUUGGCACAGAGCAGAGAAAGGAAUGAGUUGAACCUAAUCUUGCAAAGCAAGUUCGCUGUUUUAUCAAUAGUUUGUUGUAGAUUUCAGGGAUGACGGAUUCUGAUGCACUCGUUUUAUAAUGUUUUGGUCACACCAGCCCUUGAUGCCUUUCCUUUAAAUGAAUUGUAGACAGAGGGAUUUAGCUUCUUUCUUAGCCUGUUUUUUGUGUUGUUUGUUGUUUUUUACCACAAGCCGAUUGCCAGCAUAAUGGAGAGGAAACCAGAUUGGAUAUGGACUCUUUUUUAUGCCUCUUCCAGUGUCACGUUUAUAUAUCCAAAUGGACAUUAUCCUCUCAGAUUAUUAUCUGGCACUAACUUAUAAUUGUUAUAUUAUCGGAGACGGUAGCAAUAUAUCAGUGCCCGGGAUACAUCACAGGCCUGUAUAGAUGUAUGUCUACACCUAAGGGUAAAUGAAUUUACUUAUCAGGUUUUACACAUCAGUCUCUAAUACAGAUUUUAAAAACCCAACGAAUUGGCCUAUAUCUGAGUAUACAAGUGUCAUUUCUCCGUGCAUUCUUAUAUGCCUUCCCUCUAAUUAAUGACUGAGUUGGUGGAAAAUGGCUGUUUUAUUCAUGUUUUGUUGUUGUUGUUGUUGUCCUCAACUUUAAAAGUAAUCUACCUCUUAAAAUUUGUAGUUUAAUACUUGUUUGGUGAAUUUGUGCCGCUUUAACCCUUUCACUAUCAUUCCCAUUUUGUUACAUUUCUGUUAUGGGGACUUUAUGUUGAAAUAUUGUAUAAAGCGUUUGUAGCAGUUUAAAAAUAAAAUAUUUAAAAUUA